AAAAAUACUAAAAAAUACUAUGAUGCUUUCUCCCAAUAACAAUACUCCUUCAUCAACUGAUAACAAUAGUGUGCAACUCUACACUCUCAAAAUACUACUCAAAAUAUAAUAAUUUCCAUCCAACACCAGAAAUAAUAGACUUCAUUCCAACAAUUUGAAUUCACAUAAUUUUUGUAAUCACAGACUUCCUCUGUCCAAAACACACACAGCUCUCAAUAAACAACAAUCAUAAACUUUCAAUAACUCCUCAUAUAAUUCAAUCACUGAGUGCUAUAAUUACAUAAUCAAUAAUUUAUAAAUCAAUCUUUGAUUUAUUCUACAGACUCACUUCUCAUUAUUCAGAAACUAUCCAUUACUCUUUAACAACAAAAAAAACAAAGAAACAAAGAGGUAGCACUAAGCUUACCCCGACUCAUGACUAUCACAGUGUGGCACUCCAACAAACUUCUACAACUCCUAUAUAAUUGCUUCUGAUUUCUAGAUUUUAAUUGUAAUCUUGUAAUUAACCACUUUUAAUAACUAAAUCAAUCAUCUGUCCUCCUGAACUAAUUAUUCUAUGGACUAUUAGUCUAUUUUACCAAUAUCUUACAGAAACGAACUAAUAUCUAUUCUACAUAGCCCUACUCCUAUCUGUGCAGCGUCCUCACAAAUACACAAUUGAUUCCUAUCUAAAAACUACUUAACAAAACUCUACAAAGUUACUAUUUCCUCUGGCCCACCUAAUUGAUCAUUUGUUGCAUUAUCAAAUGUGCGUUCGAUCGAAUCUGGUUCUAAAUGCAAAUCUUCUUCUUCCUCCAAUCCAUCUAUCGACUCCUUCCUCAACUAGUUUGAGAAAUCUUCAUUAUACUCUCCCAAUUCA
rnacentral:lncRNA from 1 species